AGUCCUUUCCAACAGGUUUCUAG
rnacentral:miRNA from 10 species